rnacentral:lncRNA from 1 species
AGUAAAUCACUCCUUAGGGUAAUUUGAGUGAUAUCAGUGAUUAAGCCUAGACUUAGCAGUAAGAACAACUAGAUGAAAAAUUAUUUUAAUUCCCUAACAGUUAUUCAUUUCAACAAUACAUAAAUCAAACUUUAAAGAACCCUAAAAUCUGAUAAUGAGACUACUCAUACAUAUUAAUAAGAAACAUUAUGAUGGUCUGAAUAAUACUGCAAUAUAAUAAAAUGAAAAGCAAACAAAGCAGAGUAAGAAAC